rnacentral:rRNA from 1 species
CAUGGAGCUGAAGCCAGUCGCAGAUACCAGCUGGCUGCAACUGUUUAUUAAAAACACAGCACUGUGCAAACACGAAAGUGGACGUAUACGGUGUGACGCCUGCCCGGUGCUGGAAGGUUAAUUGAUGGGGUUAUCCGUAAGGAGAAGCUCUUGAUCGAAGCCCCAGUAAACGGCGGCCGUAACUAUAACGGUCCUAAGGUAGCGAAAUUCCUUGUCGGGUAAGUUCCGACCUGCACGAAUGGCGUAAUGAUGGCCAGGCUGUCUCCACCCGAGACUCAGUGAAAUUGAACUCGCUGUGAAGAUGCAGUGUACCCGCGGCAAGACGGAAAGACCCCGUGAACCUUUACUAUAGCUUGACACUGAACAUUGAGCCUUGAUGUGUAGGAUAGGUGGGAGGCUUUGAAGCGUGGACGCCAGUCUGCGUGGAGCCAACCUUGAAAUACCACCCUUUAAUGUUUGAUGUUCUAACGUUGCCCCAUUAUCUGGGGUGCGGACAGUGUCUGGUGGGUAGUUUGACUGGGGCGGUCUCCUCCCAAAGAGUAACGGAGGAGCACGAAGGUUGGCUAAGCAUGGUCGGACAUCAUGCGGUUAGUGCAAAGGCAUAAGCCAGCUUGACUGCGAGAGUGACGGCUCGAGCAGGUACGAAAGUAGGUCUUAGUGAUCCGGUGGUUCUGAAUGGAAGGGCCAUCGCUCAACGGAUAAAAGGUACUCCGGGGAUAACAGGCUGAUACCGCCCAAGAGUUCAUAUCGACGGCGGUGUUUGGCACCUCGAUGUCGGCUCAUCACAUCCUGGGGCUGAAGUAGGUCCCAAGGGUACGGCUGUUCGCCGUUUAAAGUGGUACGCGAGCUGGGUUUAGAACGUCGUGAGACAGUUCGGUCCCUAUCUGCCGUGGGCGUUGGAAGAUUGAAAGGGGCUGCUCCUAGUACGAGAGGACCGGAGUGGACGCACCACUGGUGUUCGGGUUGUCAUGCCAAUGGCAUUGCCCGGUAGCUAAGUGCGGAAGAGAUAACCGCUGAAAGCAUCUAAGCGGGAAACUUGCCUUGAGAUGAGUCUUCCCUGACUCUUUAAGAGUCCUAAAGGAACGUUUAAGACUAAGACGUUGAUAGGUUGGGUGUGUAAGCGUAGCGAUACGUUGAGCUAACCAAUACUAAUGAACCGUGAGGCUUAACCUG